rnacentral:lncRNA from 1 species
GGCGGCAAGGACAAGAAACACAUGGCUCUGGUGACCACGGUGGUCCGGUGGUCCGGGCCGCCAUGUCUGCUUUCAGAGCCAAAUCAACCACUGGGGCUGGAACUGCCCAGGAGGCCCAAAACAAAAAGCCGGUGUCCAGGCCUCCCUCCCGACACCGCUGCAAGCACCAGGGAGCCCUGAGUCAAGCAAGGCCCCAAAAUUUAUAGUUUUAAUUCUACAAAUGAUUCUGGUUGUCCUGCAAGUCUGGGUAAAUCUAUGUUGAAAGUGGUAAUUAAUAACAAAUUAGAGCAAGGAAUUAUGGGAGUGAGCAAUGACAAGCAAAACAAUGACAAGGGAGUGAUUUCUGGAAGACUUAAUGCCAAAAAAUUGCAGGAUUUUUACACAGCUUUACAAGCAUUUUUAUUUAAGACUAAGACAUUGAAGAUGUCACGACCAAUGCUCUCUUACAUGGAGGUGACCUUCAUUCUGCCUUGGAUUGGCUCUGUUUAAACCUUGCAAAUGAUGCACUGAAAGAUUCAGUUAAGAAUUUGAAGGGCAACAACCUAAAAGUAGGCUGAAAUUGCAGUCUCCUAUACAAAGCACUAUUUCACCUCCAUUGCAACCUAAAACAAAACAAACAAACAAAAGAAUAAGACCCUAAGAUGAAGCCAAAAAAGGAAGAAGGAAAUAUGGAAGCAAAUAUGAAAGAGUGGAUUUCACAGUACACUAAACAACAAAUGAAGAAGAAAAGAAUGAGAAUUCUAAAAGUUUAGAAGAAUAGGAAAAAAAAAAUUGACCCCAACGAAAGUUAUUUACAUCUUGCAGCAAAACUGCUAGAUGCAAAGGAGCCAGCAGCUGCCUUUAAACUGGAAAAAAAAAAAAAACAAAAAAAAAAAAAAAAACCAAAAAAAAAAAAAAAAAAAACCAGGCAAGACCAAAAGGAGGCUCAGGAAAAAAUAAGGAAAUUUCAAAGAGAAAUUGAAACUUUAGAAGAUGAUCCAGUAUUUAAUCCAGCCAUAAAGAUUUCACAUCAACAAAAUGAAAGAAAAAAAGCCUCCUGUGGCCAUAGAAGGAGAAAGUGCAUUGAACUUUUCAGUUAUUUGAAAAAUCUGCAGCUGCUACUGAAGAAGAGAAAGAUAAAAAGAACCUCAUGAUGUAAGAAAUUUUGACUGUACUGCUCAACGCUGAACUGGAAAAUCUCCCAAACAAUUUCUGAUUGACUGGUUCAGGAAGACUCUUCCCAAAAGUCGAAAUCCUUCCUUUGAAAAAGUUCCAGUAGGUAGAUGCUGGAAAUGUAGGGUUAGGGUAAUCAAGUCUGAAGAUGCUGUCCUGGUAGGUUGCCUACAAUCUUAACAGAGGAUGGCAUGCAAGCUCAGCACCUGGGAGGCACUUUAGUUCUUUAUCAUUUAGUUAAAGGGCAGUCAGUUUAUCAGUGACUUCAUCCUACUUCCCAAGAUGUUUGGCUGGAGUACAGUGAUGAGGAAAAGAAAAGAGAAGAAUUAAAUAAAAUGAAAACCAAUAAACCAUGUGAUCUUUUUAUUGCCCAACUUUUGAAUAUAUUGAAACAGCAGCGACAACAACAUUCUGAAAAUAAGAGAGAAAUCUCUAAUAAUCCUGAGGAAUCUUGGGAAAAUUUAGUUUCUGAUGAGGAUUUUUCUGCACUGUCCUUGGUAUCAGCAAAUGCGGAAGAUUUGGAACAUGUUAGAAACCUCUUUAGAAAGUUGCAAAGCACACCUAAGUCUUAGAGACUUCUAAAGGAAAGACAGCAGUUUCCUGUAUUUAAACAUCUGGAUGCAGGUGUAGAAACUCUUAAAGGCACUGGGGAGUGGUUGUGGCAGGUAAAACCAGGAGUGAUGAAAGUACUCAGGUACCACAUUUUCUGUUGGAAGAUUUGCUUCUAAAUGAGUGGGGAGCAAGUAAAUGUAACAUUGCCUAUACCUAACCUCAAAGGAUCUCAGCAGUGAGUUUAGCCACCAGAGUGUGUGAUGAAUUGGGCUGUGAAAAUGGAACUGGAGGAAGGAAUUCUUUGUGUGGAUAUCAGAUCUGGAUGUUAUCUGAAGCUUGUGAAUCUACCAGUGUACUCUACUGUACAACAGGGGUUUUGUCAAGGAAACUUCAAGAAGAUGGUCUUUUUACUAAUGUGUCUCACAUUAUUGCAAAUGAGGUUCGUACAAGAAGUGUCCAGUCAGACUUCCUACUAACUGUCUUAAAGGAAGUUUUACAAAAACAUUCUGAUCUCUACUUGAUUCUAUGAGUGCCGCUGUGGACAGUGAAAAAUUUUCCACAUAUUUCACACACUGCCCCACUCUCAGGAUUUCAGGAAGAAGUUAUUCUGCUGAGGCUUUUCAACAUGAAGAUAUAAUAGAAGAAACAGACUUUGUACAGGAAAAAGAAUCAGGAUAUUGUCAGAAAUUUCUGGAGAAGGAAGAAGAAAUAACCAUUAAUGUUACAAGCAAAGCAGGGGGAUCAAAAAAAAUCAAGAAUAUAUUUCAGUUCAGACUAGAGCAAAUGCUGAUUUAAAUCUAUUCUACCAAAAGUACAGCAACUUCACUCAGCAUGCUAUUCUCUACACUUGAAUCCUCAUAAAAUCAACCUGGAUUUCAUUUUAGAACUUCUUGCGUAUUUAGAUAAAAGUUCCCAAGUCGGAAAUAUUGAAGGAGCAGUAUUAAUCUUUUUACCAGGCCUUGCUCAUAUUCAGCAGUUGUAUGAUCUCCUAUCAAAUGAUAAAAGGUUUUAUUCUGAACGGUAUAAAUGGAUAGCUCUGUAUUCUGUUCUUUCAACCCAAGGUCAAGCUGCAGCACUCACACUUCCUCCUGCAGAAGUCAGAAAGAUUGUUUUAGCAACAAAUUUUGCAGAGACGGGUAGCGCUAUUCCAGAUAUUGAGUUUGUAAUUGAUACUGGAAAAACAGAAGAAAAUAAGAGCCAUGAAAGCAGAUAGAUGAGUUCUUUGGUUGAGACAUUUGUCAGUAAAGCCAGUGCUUUGCAGUGCGAGGGGAGAGCUGGGCAGGACAGAGAUGGCUUCUGCUUCUGGGGGUACACAAGAGAAAAAUAUGAAGGCUUUAUGGAUUAUUCUGUUCCUGAAAUCUUACAUGUACCUUUAGAGAAAUUAUGCCUUCAUAUUAUGAGGUGUAAUCAUGAUUCUCCUGAAGAUAUCCUUUUCAAAGCCUUAGAUCCGCCUCAGCUCCCAGUGAUCAGCCAUUCAAUGAAUUUCCUCCAAAAAACUGGAGCUUGUAAGCUAAAUGAGCCUCAGCUGACUCCGUUGGGCCAACACCUUGCAGCUUUACCUGUGUAUGUCAAGACUGGCAAGACGCUUAUUUUUGGUACAGUAUUUGGCUGCCUUGACCCAGUGGCAACACUAGCUGCAGUUAUAACAGAGAAGUCUCCUUUUACCACACCAAUUGGUUGAAAAGAUGAUGCAGAUCUUGCAAAAUCAGCUUUGGCCAUGGUGGAUUCAGACCACCUGAUCAUCUACAAUGCAUAUCUAGGAUGGAAGAAAGCACGACAGGAAAGAGGUUAUCAUUCUGAAAUCAUAUAUUGCCAGAGGAAUUU